UCGGAUACGAUUGCCCUCAGUUACGGUUGCUACGUCACGCCAACUUUGAACUCUUCCGCUGCCAGUCCUCCACGUCAACAUGGAUGGAUUCUUUUACAAAUCGGUUAAUUGACGAAGCCGCUGAUUGCUUAGUUUCACCUAGAGCUCGGAGCAAACCUGGGAGCGACGUAACAACGUAUGUUCUGUCCUGCGAUUGGCCAGUUUUUGUGGCUCUGGUUGGACAAAAGCAUUCGAAACGAGACUAAAAGUAAAGGAACUACCUCUAACUGACAGCUGCAGCAAGUGUCAUUUAGCUGUCACUUCCACGUCUGCCACUUGACACGUGUCGCACUGCGACAUCCGUCUUCCUAAUCCGAGAGGCGAACCCGCGCCCCGAAAGGUCCGAGCGCGUGCGCGUGCGGGUGCGGGCAAACGCGAAAGCUUGGACCGCCGCGGUUUCUAUUUUUAAAGGCCGGACCGUCAACCUCGCUCUCUCGCCGUUGCCAGAGGCUGGAGGAGGUACGCCGUCUUCGCAGCGAGUCACACGACAUGAAGUACAAGCGCAGGUCAUGACGUCGUGGAGGCCUGCACACAUUUUGGAUACGUAAGAAAGAUCCACAUCGACGUAUAGAGUGACUCAUCGAGUGUGCACUCGGCACAAGCGUGUUGCCGCGAUGCCAUCCGAUGCUUUCCCGCAGAGGGCCUCGCCCGGUGAUCCCGCGACGGACGACGGUCCCCCAGGUGCUCGUUUUGAUGCGAGCGCCCUUAUCGGAGAGGAUCACGUCUCCACCCGGCUGUCUCUCGACCUCACGUAGAGAACAAAAGAGUCCUUCGGCAGAACCGCAGAUCGUCUCGAUGCGCUCGCACGUCGUGGCUGAACGCAGCGAGAGCUUGACAUCACACGGACGCGUUCAUAGAACACUUAGAGUAUUGCCUACGACAUGUUAACAACUAAUGGAUUUUCUUCAGACGUGAGUAGGAGGAGACCUUCUCAAAGCUGCAGAGUUCUAUCAAGUUCGUACUGUAAGUACCCUUUUUGCCCAGCGACGUGAGUGCGAAUGGCCGACACGCGACAUUCCCCAAAAAUGGCAGACAACGGAAAAACACGUCGUCCGGUGCGUAGUCUGACAUUUUGUGGUUACGUGAUUGGACAGACUCGUUUGUACUGUAUGUAUGUCUGUUUCCAUGAUGUGUGUGAACGGAAAGAUGUUGGUUUACAUUCUGUGUGGCUGUUAGUGUAUGCUUACUUUGGCGAUGCCCCUCAAAGGGCGUGCCCACCGUGCCCAGGUCAAUGCUCGGGGCCACCGCCCCUUCUUCCCCCCCACCUUGCUCGCCACUGCUAACUACUGAUGUGCUUUUAUCGCUCACUAUAAUAAAAAGGUUAUUUGAC